rnacentral:rRNA from 2 species
UAUCCUGUCUGAAUAUGGGGGGACCAUCCUCCAAGGCUAAAUACUCCUGACUGACCGAUAGUGAACCAGUACCGUGAGGGAAAGGCGAAAAGAACCCCGGCGAGGGGAGUGAAAAAGAACCUGAAACCGUGUACGUACAAGCAGUGGGAGCACCCUUUGGGUGUGACUGCGUACCUUUUGUAUAAUGGGUCAGCGACUUAUAUUCUGUAGCAAGGUUAACCGAAUAGGGGAGCCGGAGGGAAACCGAGUCUUAAUUGGGCGUUAAGUUGCAGGGUAUAGACCCGAAACCCGGUGAUCUAGCCAUGGGCAGGUUGAAGGUUGGGUAACACUAACUGGAGGACCGAACCGACUAAUGUUGAAAAAUUAGCGGAUGACCUGUGGCUGGGGGUGAAAGGCCAAUCAAACCGGGAGAUAGCUGGUUCUCCCCGAAAGCUAUUUAGGUAGCGCCUCGUGAAUUCAUCUCCGGGGGUAGAGCACUGUUUCGGCUAGGGGGCCAUCCCGGCUUACCAACCCGAUGCAAACUGCGAAUACCGGAGAAUGUUAUCACGGGAGACACACGGCGGGUGCUAACGUCCGUCGUGAAGAGGGAAACAACCCAGACCGCCAGCUAAGGUCCCAAAGUCAUGGUUAAGUGGGAAACGAUGUGGGAAGGCCCAGACAGCCAGGAUGUUGGCUUAGAAGCAGCCAUCAUUUAAAGAAAGCGUAAUAGCUCACUGGUCGAGUCGGCCUGCGCGGAAGAUGUAACGGGGCUAAACCAUGCACCGAAGCUGCGGCAGCGACACUGUGUGUUGUUGGGUAGGGGAGCGUUCUGUAAGCCUGUGAAGGUGUGUCGUGAGGC